rnacentral:rRNA from 1 species
GAUGAACGCUAGCUACAGGCUUAACACAUGCAAGUCGAGGGGUAACGAGAGGAAAGCUUGCUUUCCUUGUCGACGACCGGCGCACGGGUGAGUAACGCGUAUCCAACCUGCCCCCAACUAGGGAAUAACCUUGCGAAAGUAAGACUAAUACCCUAUAAUUUCCUCAGAUGUCAUCUGACGAGGAAUAAAGAUUUAUCGGUUGUGGAUGGGGAUGCGUCUGAUUAGCUUGUUGGCGGGGUAACGGCCCACCAAGGCAACGAUCAGUAGGGGUUCUGAGAGGAAGGUCCCCCAAAUUGGAACUGAGACACGGUCCAAACUCCUACGGGAGGCAGCAGUGAGGAAUAUUGGUCAAUGGGCGGAAGCCUGAACCAGCCAAGUAGCGUGCAGGAUGACGGCCCUAUGGGUUGUAAACUGCUUUUAUACAGGAAUAAAGUUAGCCACGUGCGGUUAUUUGUAGGUACUGUAUGAAUAAGGACCGGCUAAUUCCGUGCCAGCCGCCGCCGUAA